AUUGAACGCUGGCGGCAUGCCUUACACAUGCAAGUCGAACGGCAGCACGGGUGCUUGCACCUGGUGGCGAGUGGCGAACGGGUGAGUAAUACAUCGGAACGUACCUUAUCGUGGGGGAUAACGCAGCGAAAGCUGUGCUAAUACCGCAUACGCCCUGAGGGGGAAAGCGGGGGAUCGAAAGACCUCGCGCGAUUAGAGCGGCCGAUGCCUGAUUAGCUUGUUGGUGGGGUAAAAGCCCACCAAGGCGACGAUCAGUAGCUGGUCUGAGAGGACGAUCAGCCACACUGGGACUGAGACACGGCCAAGACUCCUACGGGUGGCAGCAGUGGGGAAUUUUGGACAAUGGGGGCAACCCUGAUCCAGCAAUGCCGCGUGAGUGAAGAAGGCCUUCGGGUUGUAAAGCUCUUUUGUCAGGGAAGAAACACCGGCUCUAACACAGUCCGGGAAUGACGGUACCUGAAGAAUAAGCACCGGCUAACUACGUGCCAGCCGCCACCGUAA
rnacentral:rRNA from 1 species